GGAGGGUGCAGCUCAGUGGUAGAGCACGUGCUUAGCAUGCAUGAGGUCCUGGGUUCAAUCCCCAGCACCUCCA
rnacentral:tRNA from 1 species